CCUACGGGUGGCUGCAGUAGGGAAUCUUCCACAAUGAGCGAAAGCUUGAUGGAGCAACGCCGCGUGGGUGAAGAAGGUCUUCGGAUCGUAAAACCCUGUUGUUAGAGAAGAACGUGCGUGAGAGUAACUGUUCACGUUUCGACGGUAUCUAACCAGAAAGCCACGGCUAACUACGUGCCAGCAGCCGCGGUAAUACGUAGGUGGCAAGCGUUAUCCGGAAUUAUUGGGCGUAAAGGGAACGGAGGCGGUCUUUUAAGUCUGAUGUUAAAGCCUUCGGCUUAACCUGAGUCGUGCUUUGGAAACUGGGAAACUUGAGUGAAGAAGAGGAGAGUGGAACUCCAUGUGUAGCGGUGAAAUGCGUAGAUAUAUGGAAGAACACCAGUGGCGAAAGCAGCUUUCUGG
rnacentral:rRNA from 1 species